GCUCCGAGAAUUACUUGAAUUGCAAGUUCAUGGAAGCAGUUGAAAUCGCUGCCGGGGCUU
rnacentral:tRNA from 1 species